rnacentral:rRNA from 1 species
CACGUAGGCGGGUCGUUAAGUCGGGGUGAAAUCCCAGAGCUCAACUCUGGAAAUGCCUUCGAUACUGGCGAUCUUCGAGUCCGGGAGAGGUGAGUGGAACUCCGAGUGUAGAGGUGAAAUUCGUAGAUAUUCGGAAGAACACCAGUGGCGAAGGCGGCUCACUGGCCCGGUACUGACGCUGAGGUGCGAAAGCGUGGGGAGCAAACA